rnacentral:rRNA from 1 species
GAUGAACGCUGGCGGCGUGCCUAAUACAUGCAAGUCGAGCGAAGCGGGGACGGGGGAGUAAAACGUGGAUAACCUCCUAUAAGACUGGGAUAACUUCGGGAAACCGGAGCUAAACCGGAUACUUAGAGAUGGAUCCGCGCUGCAUUAGCUAGUUGGUAAGGUAACGGCUUACCAAGGCAACGAUGCAUAGCCGACCUGAGAGGGUGUUCGGCCACACUGGAACUGAGAAACGGUCCAGACGCCUCCGGGAGGCACAGGUAGGGAAUCUUCCGCAAUGGGCGAAAGCCUGACGGAGCAACGCCGCGUGGUUGAUGAAGGUCUUCGGAUCGAAAACCUCUUUUAUUAGGGAAGCGGUACCCAAUCAGAAAGCCACGGCUAACUACGUGCCAGCAGCCGCGGUAAUAC